UGCAAAUUAUUUUAUUCACCAAUAAAUAUUUAAUGUGCGAGGUACUAUGCUAAAUACUAGAGAUACAGCAGUUUAUGAGACACCAUGAGGGCUGAGACCAUGUUUGUCUUGUGGGCAAGACAUGCAUAGGACAAAUCGUUAUAAGUGAGAUGAGUGUCAUGAAAAAGGAAGUACAAUAGGUGUUACCAUGGUAAGGGAUGGAAGGUCAAGGAAGGCGUAUUUGAAUAAAUAGCAUCCACAGAAAGACCUGAAGGGUGAGUAGGAGUUAUGAUUAGUAAAGGAGAAGAAGCAGGAAAAUUGCUUCAAGAAGAGGAAAUGGCAAAUGUUAGCAUUCUGAGGAAAGAGAAAAUUCAGCCUUUAGUACUCACACAAGCUCAUCCCUUGAGAUGAGGGUUCAGAAUGUGAGGGAUAAUCCAAUAGAUGAAGGCCUCUGAGAAGCUUGGAGGGGAUAGAAUACAAAUACCAGGGGGAAGAAAUAGACCUUUGAUGGAAGUAGGGGCAUGUUAUCUACUGUAACAGAGGAAAGGAAGAAAAGAUUGAUAUGGCUACAGAUUAUAUACAUUUAUAAGUUUCAUGCCGAAAGUUGAGGGAAUGCCUAAUGGCUUCUGUUGUCUCAGUGAUGCAGGAGGCAAGGUUACCUGCUGACAAUAAACAGAAGUGGAGUUGUGAUGACUAGGCACUCGUCAAAAUUCAGCAAACAUAUAGUUAAGAUAGGUACAUGUCAUUAUAUGUACAUUUUAUCUCAAAAGAAAAAAAUAUAACCAAAUAUUGAAUUCUAGCUUUAACAAAUGCGUACACCUAUGUAAUUCAAAUCUCUAUCAAAACAUAGAGUGUCACCAUUACCUCCAGUGACAUUUAAAACUUCUCUACUUAUAUCAAAUGCUUGUCUUAGACAUUGUUGUUAUUCUUACUACCUAUACCAAAGCCUAGCAUGCAGCAGGUGCUCAAUAAAUAUUUAUUGAAUAAAUAAACUGUAAUAUGAUAUUAAAUCAGGAUUCUUUCAUCCAGGGUUAGGGUUUUGUUAGGCAUGUGCAUUUUAUUGAAAGAGCAGGAUUCACUAGGGUGCAAGUAGAAUUAUUAUUUAUUGUCCUGUACCUUCAAAUUACCUGAAGACUAUUUCUUUUUCUGCCUUGGAUGAAAUCUCAUGAAGGUCACACACACUUUAUUCCACGUCAAAACUUCUCCUUUUCCCCAGCUCAGUCCUGCUUCAGGCUGGAAGCCUGCGGUGAAGGACGUGGCUUGGUCCACUUCAGUUUUGUUUUCUACGUUUUAUGUCUCCACCUCCUCUACCUUAAACACUCUCUGAUUAGGCUUUUAGAUUUCUCCAGGUUUGAACUCUGAGGGGGAGGGUGGCAGAGCUUCUCAGAUGUUUAAUUACUACUUUCCUGCAUGUUUACAUGCAGCAAAGUCAUCUCAGAGAGUCACUUAUGACCCUAGCCCUCAGCCCUUGGACUUCUGAGGGUUUAAAUCUCAACUUGAUCACUUUGGGGAACAGCAAGGCAGCCUUAUUUGCUGGAUUCCCUUUUAAAAUGGCUUCAGGCAGAAUUCCUGGGAUCCCAUCAAUCCCUGGAAUCAUUUUGCUACCCUUGAUUUAUCAUAUAACUAUCCAUCCCUCUCUGCCUUUAUCCAGCUAUUAAUUCUUCUUAUUUUUGGUGCAUGUCAAAGUAGAUUGCAGACUUCAGUACACUUUGCCCUGAGAAAAAUUCAUAUUGACACAGUAGGCAAAAAUGCAGCUUGUUCUCACUGUUUCUCUCAGAUCCUUGCAUUCUACCACACUCCAGGCAACAUGUAUCAAGUUCUCCAAGUGUUUCCCAGAAAGCUUCUCUCACAUAGCUUAAGAAAAGAAGACCUAACAAUGACGCCCAUCCAGAAAGGUGAAGUCCUCCCGGCAAUGUUCUCUUUAACCUAUGAUAUAUGUUAAGAAGAGUGGACCAAGGUUCUGUUUUUAACUGGUGGCGGAGCAACAAAGAAACUAAGUUUUAUCCUCUCUUCCACUGCUGGACUUGAAGAUUUGGCCAAAGGACAUGAUUCCAUUUCAUUGAAGCCUCCUAGAAACUGAAAUUUGUGCUGUGCUUGAAGAAGAUGCUUUGUGGAUAUUUUCAGAAGCACACCUAAGAUUGUUAUUCUCAUUUAAAAUUUUAAUUUCUAAUAUGUGUUUAUUUCCUCUGCAUGCCUUUCAUUAUUAAUUAAAUUGUAUGUAUAUUGGUGGUUCAAAAGGAUGUAAUUUUCUUUCUAAAUUUAUG